AUGUACUACCAGCUCUCAGCGCAUGAUUCUUUCGCCUUUUACUAAAGAAUUCCGUUGAGAGGAGCAUUUCAAUGAGUCUUGACUAUUUUUCCACACCUGACCCUGGUCGGGGU
ensembl:snRNA U5 U5 spliceosomal RNA